AACGUAACAAGGUUUCCGUAGGUGAACCUGCGGAAGGAUCAUUG
rnacentral:rRNA from 1 species